UACGAAUGGAGCGAGCGUUGUUCGGAAUCACUGGGCGUAAAGGGUGCGCAGGCGGUCUUGAAAGUUAGAAGUGAAAGCCCCGGGCUUAACCCGGGAAUUGCUUUUAAAACUCCAAGACUUGAGUACUGGAGAGGUUGGCGGAAUUCCGAGUGUAGAGGUGAAAUGCGUAGAGAUCCGGAGGAACACCAGUGGCGAAGGCGACACGCUGGGCCGUACCUGACACUGAUGCGCGACAGCAUGGGGAGCAAACGAGG
rnacentral:rRNA from 1 species